rnacentral:rRNA from 1 species
AUUGAACGCUGGCGGCAGGCCUAACACAUGCAAGUCGAGCGGAUCGGCGGACGGGUGCGUAAUGCCUAGGAAUCUGCCUGGUCGUGGUGGAUAACGUCCGGAAACGGGCGCUAAUACCGCAUACUAUACGAUGAGCCUCGGUCGGAUUGGCUAGUUGGUGGGGUAAAGGCCAACCAAGGCGAUGAUCCGUAACGUGUCUGUGAGGAUGAUCAGUCCACAGGGAACUGAGACAGUGUCCAGAAGCCUACGGGAGGCAGCAGUGGGGAUUAGUGGACAAUGGGCGAAAGACUGAUCCAGCCAUGCCGCGUGUUUGAAGAAGGUCUUCGGGUUGUAAAGCACUUUAAGUGAGGAGGCGUGACCAACAGAAGAAGCACCGGCUAACUUCGUGCCAGCAGCCGCGGUAAUUC